CAGUGGCAAUCUGCUGUGGACAAAUAAAGUGAAUAUGGGCAUCAAUCCCCCCAGCGGUGAGGAUCAUGCCUUCGCCAGCGAUCGCCUCCGUGCCGGGGCCAAUGAUAAUAUCUACCCCCUCUUGGGUGUAGGGAUUUCCGGCUUUGCCAAUUUUGUAGAUUUUGCCGUCUUUGAUGCCGACAUCGGCUUUGACCACGCCCCACCAGUCCAGAAUCACCGCAUUGGUGAUCACCACAUCCACCGCACCUUCGGCAUUGGCAAUGGGGGACUGUCCCAUCCCGUCGCGG
rnacentral:sRNA from 1 species